GCCGCGUUGGCGUAGUGGUAGCGCGUCUCACUUGUAUCGAAGUAACGAGGGUUCCAUACAUAUGGAAUGAGAAGGUCACUCGUUCAAUCCGGGUACGUGGCA